rnacentral:lncRNA from 1 species
UUUAGUAUCUAGUCUUGUUCAGUGUCAUUGUCCAUGUGUCAGUUGUUCAGUGCCAUGUGCUUUUGUUUAUGUUUUGUUCUGUAACCUGUGACCUGUUUGUGACCUGUAACCCCAUACUUACCUGUUGGUCAUGUGACCUUUCCUACCUGCCCAUGCAAUUCACCUGAGUGUAAAUCAGUUCUGGCAGACAGGUUGGAGGGAUUGACCAUAUGUAAAAGAUUCGCCUGCAGUUAUAUAUACUGGAUUAUCAGGAUUAUGUGGGAACCCUUGUCGCAUUGAUAGAGGUGUAAGAUUCUUCCAGCUAGUCUGAUGUCCACAAAUGGAAUAAUUAAAAGAAUGGAAACCAA